rnacentral:rRNA from 1 species
AUCCAGCGAACUUGGCAGAGAUGCCUUGGUGCCUUCGGGAACGCUGAGACAGGUGCUGCAUGGCUGUCGUCAGCUCGUGUUGUGAAAUGUUGGGUUAAGUCCCGNAACGAGCGCAACCCUUAUCCUUUGUUGCCAGCGAUUCGGUCGGGAACUCAAAGGAGACUGCCGGUGAUAAACCGGAGGAAGGUGGGGAUGACGUCAAGUCAUCAUGGCCCUUACGAGUAGGGCUACACACGUGCUACAAUGGCGCAUACAAAGAGAAGCGACCUCGCGAGAGCAAGCGGACCUCAUAAAGUGCGUCGUAGUCCGGAUCGGAGUCUGCAACUCGACUCCGUGAAGUCGGAAUCGCUAGUAAUCGUGGAUCAGAAUGCCACGGUGAAUACGUUCCCGGGCCUUGUACACACCGCCCGUCACACCAUGGGAGUGGGUUGCAAAAGAAGUAGGUAGCUUAACCCUCGGGAGGGCGCUUACCACUUUGUGAUUCAUGACUGGGGUGAAGUCGUAACAAGGUAGGCGUAGUGCU